AGGAAGCAGCUUUCUGCCAUGAAAGAGAGGAGCAGCCUAACUGAAGGAGUAGUGACUGACACGGCUGCGGAAUGGAGUUUUUCCCGGGCUCUGCCGCCCCUACACCCCGUCCACUCGCCAACCGAUUGGAGCAGCCUGCGUUGUCCAGCCAUGCCUGGUGGCGAGUUACCUAGUUGUAGAAGGAGAUGAGAUUGGUAAGACAAGACCUGCCCACAACAAAGCCAUGGUGACUGUCAUUCAGAAUCCUACCUUCUGCAAAUCUAUCUCACAGACUCCUUGAUGAAUUUUUCCAGGAUUUUCCCUGACAUGGAAGUUAGACUAAUUAGCCUAUAGUUGCCCAGGUCCCCUCUUCUCCUUUUCUUGAAGAUGGGCACAACAUUGACCCUCUUCAAGUCUUCAGGGAUUUCCCCCAAGCACCAUGAAUUUUGGAAGAGUUUCACCAGAGGUUCUAUGAUGACUUCAGCCAACUCCUUCAGCAUUCUUGGAUGAAGUUCAUCCGGCCCUGCCGACUUAUAAAUGUCUAAGUUUCCUAAGUGGUCAAACACCAGCUCAAUGUCAACUGUAGGAAGGCAGUCAUUCCCACCAUGCCUAUUCUGAACCUUAUCUAGUAAGAUUCACCUAGUAUGAGUUAUCAAAGUGGGGGGUUGUUGGGAUCCAAAGGCCUUCAGGCCUGGGUUUGACCUUUAGGCUUAGCUCAAGCUGCAUGCUUAGCUUUAAUUGUGAUCGAGACAUGCACCCAGUGAAAGGAGCAGAUGGAAAAAUACUGUCCCUAACUUAAAACAAAUCAGGAAGUUGGCUAACUAAAUUGAAUAAAUAUAACCUGGACAAAAGAGGAAUAGUCAGAGCAAAACCUAUCCCCACCUAAGAAUGAAAAGAUUACCUCAGGAAAAAAAAUCCAGUUAAAGGUAACCAUAUUUGGCAAACAGAAGAAAAAUUAUUAAUGUGCAUUAGGAAGAAGGCUUGAGUUAAUUUUAUAUAUUAAAAAUGCAAGUUAUAUGGCUUAUAAGGAAAGGUAAAAAGGUGUACCCUUUGAAACACUCCCGAAGAAAGCCUGAAAAGAUCCCAUCACUGAUCCAGGAUCCUGUCUCAACAUCAGAUAUGGAAACCACAAGCCCCAGAUAAGACUUCAUGGCUUGAUCAACUGGUGAAGUUGUGUUCACAGCAUUACAGGGUGGUGAG